UCUGUUGGAUCACCAAGACCUUAGCUGCUCCAUCAGGAAGCCAUUAAAAGGGCAGAAGGAAGUGACCACUUCUCUGACUGCUCUAGGAGCAUUGGAUUGCUUUCUUUUCUUUUCUUUUCUUUUUUUUUUUUUUGGUUGUGUGAGACCCCGUGGCAUUUGCCAUCUGUCUUCUGUUAAAUUUUCUUUCUAAGUGUUUCAGUGUGUAGUCCCAGAGAACCCGCAUGUGAAGCACUCAGGAUGUACCCAGAUUACUUAUUCAAAAUCUAUCAACACGUUGGUUUCCCAUGGAAGGUUCAGGGAGCUUAGAGGAUAAAGCACAUCCAUUUUUAGACAACAGGUAUAAGGCAGAGUACCUUCUAGAAGCAAAGGUUGCAGAUAAGCCCCAUCUUUUAUGAUGGCAACAUGUGGGUUGACAAGGAUCCUGGAGAGUCUGGCUCUUUUCUUGGACCAAGUAAUGGAUUAUCUCCUGCUUCCAGUGAAUCUUACAUCCAUUCCCAUGUGCCUCCCAGCCACCAUCUGCAGUACCAUGGAGGCGACUUGACCAACAUCAAACUCCAUUCCUCUCACAUUGUGGCUGCUUCCUGGCAUCCUCUCCUGAACUAUAAAAUGUAAGUUUUCUGUCAUUUCCCCAACAGUUAGCACAUUGCUUUACGCUUAUUUCUCUUGCUUUGGAAUGUGAAGGGCACCUUCUUUCACAUACCAACACUUAGGGAAUUGAUGGGUAAGGAGGACCUAGUAAAGAAGAGUGAGAAGAGGCACCUGCUGAGGUGAGAGGAGAAUCCAGAGAGUAGAUUCCAAUGUCAAGUAAAUGACAAUAGGAAGAGGAUGGGGAGUCUAUUUGCAUUAAGAGCUGUAAACAGAUCCAAUAGGAUGGGCCUCUGAGAACUAACUGAUCACUGGGCUUGGCAAUCUGUAAGUCAUGAAUGAUUUUAGAGUAGAGGAAAAUAAAUGUACAAUAUUCGCUAGAUUGAGGUCCUGAGUAGGCAAGGGAGAAUGGACCUAGUAUUCAAGUAAAAGGUCUGCUUUCCAAGCAAAGCCAAGUCUCUGGUGGGAAGAGAGAGGAUGUGGCUAUGAAAGAAAGCUAACCGGUUCAUGAGUUAGUGGAAGUUGCAGAAUCCCUCUUGUGGUUAGUCUUAUUUCUCAAAGAACUCAUCUCAGGAUGAAGGUGACUGUGUGUGUUCUGUUAGUGCUUAUUGCUAUGACACAUUGCCUGACAAAAGCAACUUAACAAAGGACUUCCUUUGGCUCACAGUGUGAGGCAAGGAAGGCAUGAGACCAAGAGCUACGAUGGCAAGAGUUUGGGGCAGUUAAAUGGUGUUCACGUUCAGUGUGGGGGUUUUUAUCCUGGGGUUAAGUAUCUCUGGAUCUCUCCUACAGAUAUCAUCAUGCCCUCUGCAUGAUCCAAAUCCUGUCAAGUAAACAAUGGGUUCCUCUCUCUAUUCAUCUAUCUAUCUAUCUUUCUUUCUUUCUUUCUUUCUUUCUUUCUUUCUUUCUUUCUUUCUUUCUUUCUUUCUUUCUUUCUAUCUAUCUAUCCAGAGUCAGGCUUUCUUGUAGCCCACACUGAUUUGAAAUUGCUAUGUGGCCAAGGCUAAUCUUGAGUUUAUCAUCUCUCUUGCUUAACCAUCAAUCAGAGCAUUAGAACCACAGGCACCAUAUGCUACAAUGCCUGGUUUAUAUGGAGCUAGAGAUCAAACCUAGGCCUUUAUGCAAACUAAGACUAGCACCCUACCAGUUGAGCCCUAGCCUGCAAAGGAGUAAAUCACAUGUAAUUUAUUCAUCUUUGUGUUAUUUCUGUGUCUCCAGCAAUUAGAAUUGUGCCCCGAACAUGACUGGUAUCAACACAGGGUGGUAAGUUAGUGAACUGAGGCUCUGAGAAAUGACUUGACAUUAGGGUUACUUAUCUUCACAUUUUCUGGAAAAAUGUAACCUCAUUUUUAUGUUGAACUGCUUAUGAACUAAUCUAGGUCACCUCAGCUUUGAGUGAAUGUGAAUUCUCUCAGCAGUCUAUCAUCUAUUUAAUCCUGCUCUGGAGUCACUUACGACUUUUACAUUACCAAGACUGGUGGUUAGUUCUCAGGCCUAUCUUAUUAGGUUUACUCAAUUGACACACACACACACACACACACACACACACACACACACACACACACACACACUACACAUGAAGGAUUAAAAAUUAAUAAUAAGCCGCCUAGCUACCCAAAAAGAAGAAGUAGGGUCUGUGAGAACAUGAACUUUUCACCCCUCCCUUGCUGUACAAUGGUUCCCGGAACAUUCUUGCAUGAAAAGUUUCCUGGAACAGCCACAAUGACCCAUAGCCUCCGGCCACAAUGGUCCAAUGGCCCUGUAAAAUGUCACUACCCCUAAUCACAAUGUCACAAAGUCCUGGGUGUGUUGCCUAGUGUUACACAUGACUAGCAUAUGACCUAACUGUAUGGGCAGUCUAUGGUUUUGGAAUUUCCCUCCUCCCUCCCUCCUGAUCCCCCCUGGUUUGUGGUUUUUUCCUUUAUAAGCUCUGUGAAAAUUCAGGUCGGGGUCGAACUCCUCUACUCCCUGUGUGGCGUAUGAGUCUCGACCCCAGCAUGCUGGCCUGAGCUCUCGUUUCAUCUCGCUUACAAUAAAUCUUCCUCGUGUGAUUACAGCAGGUCGGUGUCUGUGUCCUACUGGGUGCGCGUCUUUCCCGAGACUUGAGUGGGGGGCUCCCUUCGGGGGUCUUUCAUUUGGGGGCUCGUCUGGGAUCUGCGCGACCACCCAGGGGUCCUAGACCCACUUGGAGGUAAGAUUCUCUGUUUUAUCUCAGCGCUGUGUCUGGGUCUGUGUCUAUGUUCUGUCUGGGAAUCUGGUGUGAUCGCUGUUUCGGUUUUGCGGACGCUCAGUGAGACCGCGCUCCAGGAAGGAGAGCGGGGUGGAUAGGGAUAGACGUGUUCAGGUACCCACCGUCCGUUCGCCCUGGGAGACGUCCCAGGAGGACACAAGGGGGGACCAGGGACGCCUGGUGAACCCCAUCUGAUAGGUCCAGAGGAGACUUUACUCCUUGACGACCGGUUUGUUAGGCAAGGUCUGCGACCUGCCGAUCAGUUUCAGUGCCUCUGGUCGACACGAAGUCGACGUCGGUUUUGUUUUCUUUUUUCUCUUUUGUUUGUGCUCGUGUGUGUGAGUGUGUGUGAAUUAAGUCCUGUAGUCUGUGUUUUUCGGUACCGGUUUAAGGUCUUAGUGCACUGUCUGGGCAGAUGAAGGAUUCCUGCCCUGUGCACGAGAGUCUUAGUGCACUGUCUGGGCAGAAGAAGGUUUCCUGCCCUGUGCACGGGUGGAAGAAGGUUCCCCACCCCGAAAUGGCGCCUGUGAGUAGAUGAAGGAUUCCUACUCCGAAUAGUCUUUUUCUUUCUUUUUUUUUCCUUUUUAGAAAGCGCACCGGGGGACGCCCCAAUCGCGCAGGCUCUGGGACGCGUGAGAAACGUUCCACGAGCCGAAUUUUGUCGGGAGGACCCGGCAACGGACAGUCAAAAAGAUCUGACUGUGACUUUGGAGGUCAUGUUCGGCUGCCUAUUUAAGUAUAGGCACGGACAAGUGUGCUUAGAUGUGUUAGUGUUUGUUGUCUGUAUUCUGUUUCUGUGUUUGGUAUCCCAGAAGCAGCUAAGGUUAAGCUGCAGUUUGGGCCAGGUACUGAAGGUACCAGGCAUCUGUGGAAAUUGGUUAUAGGAUGCUUUGUCUUGGUCUUGUUUGUCUGGAUUGUUUUCUGUGGUAUUGUCCCGUGUCUUUUUGACUUUUGUUUCGUGUUUGAAUUUGGACUGACAACCGUGUUUAAAAUCUUGGACCGACGACUGUGUUUGAAAUCAUGAAACUGUUUGCUUUGUUCGUUGAAGAGUUUUACUUGGUCCCCUUAAUGCUUAGUGAGUAAGGAACUUAAUUUUGUGGACCCCGCUCUAGUGGCGGUAUGUUGGUUGAUAGCCAAAGUUAAUUUUUAAAACAUAGUGUUUUGGGGGUUGGGGAUUUAGCUCAGUGGUAGAGCUCUUGCCUAGCAAGCGCAAAGCCCUGGGUUCGGUCCCCAGCUCUAAAAAAGGAAAGAAAAACAAAACAAAAACAUAGUGUUUUAUCUGUGCUUGUGCUCGAAGCCAGCUGUGAUGAACUGGGAAAGAUUUAAAUUUUCCUUGGGAGUAAAGAAUCUUAAAGGCGGAGUUUCAGCCGGUAUGACACUUAGUGCGUAGCUGCCUAAAAGAUCAGAAAUACUGUUAAUAGGCUAUAAAAAAGGGACAGGCUGUGUUAGAAAUGCUACAGGAAGAAUAAUCUAAAAAGGCUGAGAGCUAGGUGGGGCUAUAAGGAAAACAAGAAUAGGAAAGGAAUUUCUGACAUUUGCUCACAGUAGGAGAGCACUCAUUUAGAGAAGUUCUUUAAGGAAGCCUGCCUUAUCUGCUGUCUUUAUUCCAAGGGAGGAGUCAGUCUCCAGCACUAAAUUACUUGGAGGUGGCCAAGGUCAGGAUUAAUGUUUUCUUUUCCUUGGCCCCUUUAAACCCAGUGAGACAGUUUGGUAAAGGGCUACUACUGAGGUCCUGAUAGCACCAGGUGAACUGGUUAUAAUUCUUUUAUCAGCCCCCUGGCAUCUAGCACCCAGGUUCUAACCAUCUCUCCAUCCUUUUGUUAUUAAUUGUUACUAAAAGCCUAGUGUCAUUUGGAGGCAAGUUCUCUUGAGAGACAAAGCUACGGAGCUCACACUGAAGAGAGAUGCUCCUUGAGGGAAAACCUAACUCUAGAGAGAUAGUCGAUAACAGAUUGGCUGCCUCUCUGCUCACCUUUCCGUUUCAUAGACAAAGCUUGUGCUUAUUUGUACAAUGGCCUUUUCGUUCCAAGAAAGGCCUCCUGGUUUAACUGUGUGACUAAAUGCUGUUUGCCCUCUUCGGUAGACUCUAUUCUCAAGAUUCUCUUGUUUUCUCACCAUCCCAUUUGAUAUGCUUGUUAGUAACUGUUACAGGUCUUCUUUACCACCGAGGAAAGACGGAAUCCUACUAGAGGCCAGAAAAAAAAAAAGGGUUCCAACACGCAUAGAAGGCCCUCACUUCUGCCUGCUCUCUUCAUACCCCUGAAGGCUAAAAGACCUACAGGUGAUACAGAAAGAAAUCUGCUCACAGCUGACAGCAGCCUAUGCCCCGGAGACCCCUGAGACAUCCCAUCAGUUCCAGGUUGCAGCUACACUGAGUCCAGACACUCGAGCCUCGCUGGAAAGGACCGUACCUGGUGCUGCUGACCACCCUGACAGCUGUCAAUUCUCAGCCCUCACCAGCCGUGUACUAGCUGUUGGGGCUGAGAGCUGGGACCUAGAGGGAAACUCAGUCAUGUUUGUCCUGGGUUCUAUCAAGAUAGGUGUGGGAUAGGCUUGAUUUCCAUUACAAAUGAUGUAACAUUGCAUAUGUUAGUACUCUUAACACUUCUUGGGACUGUGCCUCAGGGAUCACAGUCCGCAUAAGCUUAGAAGUUCUAAAAGCUAGUCAUGACCUUGGUGGAUAGGCUUGGAUAGUGUCCAGGUUAGAAUCCUCAUGUUAAGACUACAAUACCAAGCUGUUAUGCUAGAUGAAGCUGAGUUCUCCAUGAAGUUCUAGGAUUAGAACUAUUAACAAAAAAAGAAGAAGUGGGGAAUGAAGGAUUAAAAAUUAAUAAUAAGCCGCCUAGCUACCCAAAAAGAAGAAGUAGGGUCUGUGAGAACAUGAACUUUUCACCCCUCCCUUGCUGUACAAUGGUUCCCGGAACAUUCUUGCAUGAAAAGUUUCCUGGAACAGCCACAAUGACCCAUAGCCUCCGGCCACAAUGGUCCAAUGGCCCUGUAAAAUGUCACUACCCCUAAUCACAAUGUCACAAAGUCCUGGGUGUGUUGCCUAGUGUUACACAUGACUAGCAUAUGACCUAACUGUAUGGGCAGUCUAUGGUUUUGGAAUUUCCCUCCUCCCUCCCUCCUGAUCCCCCCUGGUUUGUGGUUUUUUCCUUUAUAAGCUCUGUGAAAAUUCAGGUCGGGGUCGAACUCCUCUACUCCCUGUGUGGCGUAUGAGUCUCGACCCCAGCAUGCUGGCCUGAGCUCUCGUUUCAUCUCGCUUACAAUAAAUCUUCCUCGUGUGAUUACAGCAGGUCGGUGUCUGUGUCCUACUGGGUGCGCGUCUUUCCCGAGACUUGAGUGGGGGGCUCCCUUCGGGGGUCUUUCACACACACACACACUACACACACACACUACACACACACACACACACACACACACACAGUGGGUAUUUGUACACUUUGUUUGUAGUUUAAAAAUGCUAUCAAUUUAAAGACUGUGGGAAUUCAGGUCUACUGGAGUGGUCGGUAGUAGAGGGAGCCUCCAGCUUUCCUUGGCUGCUUAGGGAAAACACUGCAGCAGUCUUGUCCUAAGAUUGCCUGGCUACAGCCAUGCUCUGUUCUCCCUUUCUGAAGAACUUACUCUCUCUCCUCCUAUAGUACUAUAUCACAUUGCUGAGACAAAACAAAACAAAAAACCACCACCAACAACAAGAACAAGGUAAGGCUUUAAAAAAGUUCCUAAACUGGAGGCAGUGGGGAUUCAGCAAGUAAAGAAGUGGAGUGUGAAUUACUAAACAGAACCGUGGAGUGAAGUAGCAGCAUGGCACAUUUUGCAUUUGGAAGUCUUCCAAGGCAGAAUCUAGCUGCACUGGGGACGAGGGGCAGAGCAGCAUCUGUCAGUGGGUUUUCCAGGCUGUGGCUUCACUGCACAGCGGCGGUGUGCUUAUCAUCUGAGUUGGGGUGUGUGGGGUUCUUGGAAGGGUGCAGGUAGGCAGCAUAGUCAGUCUGGGUUUGCUUCACUGGGCUCUUCUUUUACAUAUUGCUGUGCGCGCCCCCCACCCCGUUUUCCUGAUUCCUUUUUCAAACAAUCUGUAAGCAUCAUUGUGAAGGAAAGCCAGCAGGACAUGUAAAAUAGCCUCAUAAAUUAAGACAAGAUGACUCCCAUUAGUUUGACAUAGAGUGGUUGGAGGCUUAGGCAAAAACCAGAGGAAAGUGAGUUAGAAGACAGAGCCCUGGGGUCCCACCUGAGGAGGUAUCUGGAGAUGGAGCAGAAGAGAGGUGAGUUUAAACACCUGCUCUGGGGACCCAAGUCUCUAAAGUUACGUUCAGUGGCUCAUUGGACACUGAGAGUGAGAGCAAGCUUUGAGGGUUGACUCAGGGAUAAGAAGAAGUAUGCAUGAAACCUUGUAAAUCACAACAAAACCCAUCCCCCCCCCCCCCCACGGAGGCAGAAACAGAAGAGGGGAAAGCUUUCACCCACCUCACCUUGGCAGGCUUCAGCCAUUAGUCAUUCUGUUUUCAAGCAUUAAAUUGCAAUAAAUAUGAAAUGUCCUGUCAACUGCCCCAGAUCGUAUUUAUUCAAAUCAGCCAGAAGAGGUUUCUAAAAGCAAAUGCCAACAUAUCAGAAAGAUCCAAGGAGUCGGCAAAAAUGUCCGGAAGCAGUUCCCAAAUAAGUCAUCAUGCUUAAAGAAAACUCAUCUGUGUCCAGGCAUUGCAGACUUACCUGUGGUGGAUAUUCCUCCUGAAAUCCCCACAUCCUUGUGGGUGUUCAGUGCUAGGUUGGUUUUAGAAGGCUGUCCUAAGUGUAAAGUGGCUUGCAAAGAUAGUAACAUAGUCACCCAUGUAUAUUUACAACACAUUCCUGCAGGCAACUUGUAGCUCAAUGGAACAUUUACUCUGUAGUAUAAUUUUUCGAUAAUAUUACAUGCAUUAAUAAAGGUAAUUUAGAAGACGCCCCCAUAAAGUCAUUUGACUUUCUGUGUGUGUGUGUGUAUGUGGCAAUUGCCAGAGUAAUAAAAUGCUUUUGCAUUAUGUGGCAAUAGGAAAGCUAUGCCCUUUUGCUUGAUUAAGUAAAGUCCCUUCAGCAUUUACAGCUACACAUUUGUCUGUCACUUUACUGCCAUCCUAUUUUAAUUUGAGCUAUGCAUCUCCUGACUCUGGAUGUCUCUACCCAGAGAGUUUUAGAGAACAAUAUUGUUGUCUUGCACAGCAGAAAGACCAGGGGCACGAAUACAUGGUUUUACACUGUCAAGUGCUUGCCACAUUUAAUGCAGAUCCAGGGUUCCAGAUCCACCAGGUUCUUUUGUUAAUGGUUUGAAAAUGUCUUGGACAUCAACUGUGUAUUAAGCUUUGUGGUAGUAUUGUGGAGAAAUUCAAAGGCAAGGUCUGGGGUGUGUGUGUGUGUGUGUGUGUGUGUGUGUGUGUGUGUGUGUGUGUGUGUGUAUGUGUGUGUGUGUGUGUAGUUAAGAGCUUGGAACUUCUAGUAUGUCCUUCAACUCCCCUCCAUGAUGACAUUUCCUUAUUAGAGCUAAGGAGGAUGGUUUUUAGUCUCAGAAAAGGGGGAGAAAAGAUGCCAUCUAGAAGAAGGGGGAUUCAUAAAAACAUGAUAAUGAAGUAGUGAAGGGGUAGAGGGGAGAUGAAUGGAGAAAGGUGCAUUCUGGGAUUGAUCGCUCUUUGAUUUGAGAUGCCAUUUUCUCUAUGGGUUCAAAUCCUUCGGGAAAUGUUGCUGAUCCUACAAGUGCUCUGUUUAGGAGUUGACCUUCUUCAGCAGAGGGUCUCUGCAGAGGGCUGCAAUAAGUAGAUUUGUAUCUCUAGAUAUGGUGAGUUUGAGGUGCAGUGUUCACAGAGUCAUAAACCAAUGGGAAAGUCCAACCUUCAGCACCAUGCACUGGAGGGUAUGUGUCCACUAAAUCUACUUCUCUCAGAAUGAAGAAAUUCCAGUCGAGAGCUGUGUUACACCAGACUUAGAGAUUUCAGAGCACUUCCAACCUGGUCGGAUAGUCUAAACCAACAUCAAAAUUAAAGCCCAUGGUAGAGACAGAGAGCUACAGAUCUGGCUGGUUGGAAGAAGGAAGAGUCCCUCUAAGUAAGGCAGGUCUUGAAGGAGGUGCUUGAGUUUUUGCCCCAGCAGCCUAAGAUUUUUGUAAGGAAGAUGUAAGAUUUAAUAGGAUUUUUAGGUUUGAGUCUGCUGAGAGGAAUGGGUAAGAGGUGCACAAACAGGUACCAUGGGAGUAAAACAAACGCGACUGGCUUCCCAUUAAGCCCUUACCUUGUGGUCUCUGAGCAAAAUUUCCUGAGUUUCAUCUCUGCAGAGACCUGAUUCAAACCUGUCCUCCUCAAACCACAGCCAGGAAAUGACAGAAAACACGAAUCAUCCAUGCAUUCAACCAGUAGAGGGCAGGGAUCGGCGUUUUCACUGCUAGGAUUCCCAUGGUAAGUAAAGCAGACAGCCUGUAUCAUCCUGCCCCAUGGGAGACACAGCAGCCUAGCAUGCAGAUGUACAACUGCACAUCACUCUCCACAGUAAUCAGUGCCCUGGGGGAGACUAAGAGGAUGCUGUGAUGAUUGUGAGGCAGGCAGAAACUACUAAAGAAGACAUGUUCAGGGGAAGUCUCGCCUAGGUGAUGAUUAAACCUGGAUCUGAAAAAUGACAAACUUACACAGAGAGGAAGUGAUAUAGCUCAGAGAGAGGAGAAAUCAUUUGUAAAGGCGCUGUGUUGGAUCCUUUUGAAGACUCUGGGAGAACAGGCUAAUUGAUGCACUGUUAGUAUAGUAAAAGGACACAUGUGUCCCAGUUGAAGGAACAGCUGGAUCCGAUCAUUUAAGGUACUAAACAGCAAAGGAAGAGUUUAGUUUCCAUCACAACUGUGGUACAAAUCUACCAAAAGAGUCUGAGCAAUGAGUAAAUUUGGUCUCCUCUCUCUCUCUCUCUCUCUCUCUCUCUCUCUCUCUCUCUCUCUCUCUCUCUGAAUUGUCAACAAUAAAUUCCUAACACUUCACAGGCAUAUGCAGGCCACAGCCACGCAUGCUGCAUGUGAUGGUCUGGCCCUACUCAGGUUUACUCGCUGCAGGUUCCCAGCAGCCAACAGAUGGAUAAUAACAUUUAGUCGUCAGCGGCUGGUAAUUACAGUGUAUAUUUAAAGAAGAAAUAACUACAUUUCCUGCUUCGAGCACUCUCUUAUGAAAUGGAGAACCAAUAUCUCCCAAAUUAUAUAGUGGAGAUGCGAUCCACAGUUCCAAGAACUGAUAGAAAACUCCCCGGGGUUAAUAAUUCAUGCAUGACCUGUGAUUGUAGCUGUACGUUUUAUCUGUUUUCAUUAGAUGCUCUCUUUUAUUGAGUUUUCACAGUGUACAUUGGUAGCCUGGAUGUGCCCCUGUUUGAAAUAAGCUUUUGCUUUUGAAAUGUUCUGGACUAUAUAAUUUCAUUUGAACCAUUAUGUGAAGCACAUGGUUCCUGUGUGUCUGGCUUUUUAGAUUGUUUCACACCACUCUCUAAGCCUGGUUUGGAGACUGAUUCCAAACUUUCUAGGACCAAACAGUCCUAGGUUUCCCUUGUGGGUCAAUCUGCCCCCAACUCUGCCUUGCUUUUCAAUAAAAGGCUACCUGAUACUGAGAAGAGUUUCGAACUCAGAAUACUCUGCAAGAAGGCACCGUAAACAUUUCAAAAUGGAUUAUAUCCAUUCUGUGGACAGCAGAAGGAAAAUGGCAUUUGACAUGAUGCCAGCCCCCGGGGAGCUAUGUGUAGGGCCUGCCACUUUAUUGCUUGAGGUACACUGUCCCCUCUACAAAAAUGACUGUUUAGUUUCCAAAAACUAUAUAGAAACUCCUGAAGUAAGGGAUACCUUGUAGCUGUUUGUGGAUUAUCUAAUUUACACCUAUCCUGGAUCUAAUCCAUGUCCUUCCUAUCUGAUUUUCAAACCAACUCAAAAGGGUAUCACUAGAAAUACAUACAUCCUUUGUGUGUGUGUAUGGCUGUGUAUAUAUACAUAUAUAUACAUGCCAAUUAUUAGUAGUGACUCUCUCUGAAUUUUAGUUUCUCCUUUUCUUUAUUCUAACUUGCAAUAGAUCUGAAUUAUUUGUUCAAUAAUUAAAAAUAAGGCAAAGGAUACGUUUCUCCUUUUGGCACCUAGAACAAGGAAACUGGCAGUCAUGGUAAACUGGGGAAAGAGGAGAAAUGGCAAACAUCAAAAUAGACUACCAAGUCCGGGAGAUGGCUUAGUGGUUAGGGUGUUUGCUGUGCCAGCCUAUGGACCUGGGUUCUGAUCCCCAGAACCUAUGUAGAGGGCCUAGUGUGGUGAUAUGUGUUGGUAAUUCUAGGGUUGGGAGGUGGAGACAGAAGAAUCAUGGGGGCUCACUAGCCAGCCAUUCUAGCUGAACUCCAGGUUCAGUGUGAGACUUUGUCUCAAAUGGUAAGAAGGGAGAGAUGGAGGAGAAUACACAAUAGCCUCUGGCCUCCACAGCGUGCACUCACACACACCACAGCCUGUGGGGCCCUUCAUCUUCAAGGCAAGCAGAAUGGGAGUCCCUAGGAUAUUCAUAAAUCAUGAUAUCAUGUGGUACAUGUGCAUGUAUGUGUGUGUGUGUGUGUGUGUGUGUGCGCGCGCAGUACAUCUCUGUGUGUAUUUGUGUGUAUGUAUAUGUGCAUAUGUGUGUGUGUGCAUGCAGUUCCUGUGUGUUUGUUGUCUGUGUGUAUGUGUAUGUGUGCAGUGCCUCUGUAUGCAUGCAAUACCUGUGUGUGCAUGCGUGUAUGUGUAUAUGUGUGUGUUUGUGUGUGUAGUGUAUCUGUGUGUAUGUGUGUUUGUAUGUAUGUGUGUGUGCAUGUGUGUGUGUGUGUGUGUGUGUGUGUGUGUGUGUACUGUAGAAGCACAGAGCCCUCUCAAGUGUCUCCUAAGACAUUAACCCCAAGCCAGGACUCCUUGUAGGGAUAUCUUCAUCACAUUUACCUUGGAUUCUUCUCAAGGGAGGAGAGAUAACGCAGGUGAGGAUGGGUGGUGAGGGUGUGAGACCGGACAGGGGUGGGGGUGGGGGAGCUCUGGCUCCUUUCAGAGACCAGCAAUGAAUCUGGCUUCCUCCUCCUGAUCGUUCCCCAGAGGCUCUGUACACCAUCUCCUCACUUGCCUCCUUAUUUUAUCCUUGCUUCCCUUGAGGAGGGGAGGAUGGGCACCAUUCACAGACUUCCCUUUCCUCUCUGAUGGUUGUGGAUUAGUGGCAUUGACUCUGUGAUCUUAUAGAAAGCAUUUAAGGGAGUCAGUUUUAAUUUGGUCCACAGCAUCAAUGGUUCAGCUCAUGCUCCCGUGGCUCCUUUUCUGAGCUUGUGAUGAAGUAAAUUAUCACAGUGGCAGAGGCAUGUAGAGGAGGAGGCUGUUUAUCUCAUGGUGGACAGGAAGUAGACAAAAGGAGAGGGGCUGAGAACCAGGUCCAACCUUCAAAAGAGUGCUCCGUUCUGGGACUACUUCCUCACUCUGGGAUUUGCCUCCUGGAGUUUUUGGAACCUUUCAAAUUAGUGCCACUACCUGGGAACCAAGUGUUAACAUGUGAGUCUGUGGGAAGUUACUUCACAUUCAAACUGUAACGGAAAGAAACCUUUAGUCUCUUCCAUGUCUUUUCCUUUAAUGCUAUUUUACUUUUACAGAUAUGUGCAGACCACAGAAAUAUAGUCUGCUGCUGUUGGCCUGGCAUCAUGCACCUUUCUGUUUAUGGAUGUGUGUGUGUGUGUGUGUGUGUGUGUGUGUGUGUGUGUGUGUGUGUGCUGUGUGCAUGCUCCUAUAGAGGUCAGAGAUCAAUCUUGGGUGUCAUUCCUCAGGAAGUAUGUAUCUUUUUUUUUAGAUAAGGACCAGGGGAUUGCCAAUUCAUCUAGUCUGGCUGAUCAGGGAGCCCCAGGAAUUCUCUUGUCAACUUCGAGUGCUGGGGUUAGAAGCCUAUGCUACUGGACCAGCUUGAGAUUGAAUCCAGGUCUUUACACUUGCACAGCAAGCCGUCCACUCUCUCCUCUACUUGCAGCUCUUAAUAAACAAGUCAAUCUUUUUGGAAAUGAGAAAACAUUUUCUCAAUUAAACAGCCAGUUUAAAAGCCUAAAUUCUUUUGGCAAUCGAAAACAAGAGACUUCAAGCCUAUUGCCCACAUUGGGGUUUUAUUGUUCUCUCCCUCCCUCCUUCCCGUCCUUGUUCCCUCCCUCUCUCUUCCCCUUCCUUUCUCCUUUGUUCUCACUAUUCUCAUACCCCUCCCUUUUGUUAUUCAUUCUGAUUUUUUAACUUCCUACUUGUGGACAAAGAAUGGUUUCUGGUACAAGAAAGGCUUUUGUCUCUGCAUAGUUGGGGAGGUGUGCAGAACUCAAAGGAAAAUUCCUCAGCUCAUGUCACCAAAUUUCCUCCUAACACAUGUAAUGUGGAGCCAAUUAUGUACCUAUCGUGUGAGCUUGUUAUGAGGAUUUAAUGAGAGGAUCCAGGAGAAACACUUAACACACAGGCUGUAUGUGCUGAGGGUUCAGUAGAUGUUUCCCAUUGUAAUAGGUAUUUAGUAUUCUUAGUGUGCCCUGCAACUUCUUGGUGUCCACUAGGAAAAAAGAAAGCAUUCUCCAGGAUCCAACCACACCCCUCUUGGCAACCCACACAGUCCUUUUCAGCCAUGUCCUCCUCCUAGCAGAGGUGACUUAGAAGCUACUACAGAGCUCCAGUGACCACUGUUCUUCUCCCAAAAGCAAAGAGAUAGCUGAUGCACCACAUGUUCUUCCAUGUAGGAAGCAGGUAAGAUACUUCUACAUUCAAGGUUCCUCAUGUUCAGCUGGUGGCCCCUGAAAGUCCCCAAUGAGCCUGUAGCACAGGAUGGACCUGGAGCCGUUCCUAUCCCUAGGCAGGCAGAGGUGCAUGGGAAAGAAGCAGAGUGUGGCCCUAAGCUAUCAGUCUUUCCUCUAUACCAAGAAAGGACUGGACUGUCACUGUACUAACAUUAGGCAGCUCAGGAAACACUACGGCUGCUUGGACACAUGUCAGCCAUUCCUGGGGCCAAGGAAGACUUGGUUUUGAUGCCUGAGCAUCAUUUUUUUAAAUAAGUUCCUGACCUUUGACACAGUGAUCAGCCUGCUGGUGUAGCUACUUGCUGACCUAUUUACUUGCUGGCGUAUUUAAGUGAUGGCAAAUCAUGGGAGGUUCUACAAAGGCUUUAAACCUUUAACUUCAAUGGUAAGGACCCAAUGGAGUCAUAGAAAACACUGGAAAACAUUGCUUGACUCUCUUCCAUUUGCAGACCUCUACUGAACCAACCAGAGAAACCUGUAUCUGCUCAGAGAGCUUUGCUGCUCUUUCCCCUCUCACACAGAUACAAACAGGCAUUCAUAGGUGUGUACAAAGGAGCCCAUACAUGCAUAUGCACAAAUACACAUACAUGUACACACACAAAUACACAUACAUGUAUACACACAGACACAUAUUCACUCACACACAUGCAUCUAUACCCACAGAAAUGCCUAUAGGGCGCCACCAUACUUGAGGUAUCUCAUGAAAAGCUAGUCCUACACAAUUCCUUUGGAUAUCAUCCUCUUCCUUCCCUUCUUUCUCUAUUUCCUCUGCAAGUGUCAGAUUCUUGAAUAUAUUGGGUGGCUCUGUAGACCAUUUAGGAGAAAUUUACAUUUUGUGCUGGGUCAGCAUUAAAUGAGCCCUGAAAACCAGAUUCUCUUGGUGGCCACACACCCCUGAAAAGACAUUUAGGAAGAUAAAGACGCAUGGUGGGGAAUAACAACAUGGCUGUGAGGGCAUAGUGAGGCUUCCCUGAUGUGUCAGAGAAAUCGGGGGCUCUCCCCUCUGCCCCUUAGCACAUUGGGUGCCUACUGAACUGGGCUGACUUUGUGAAGAGAUCUUUCACCUGGUCACAGGAGACAAUGGGGUUCUGGUUACCUUGUACUUGAGAUCUGCCUGCCAGGGCUUCUCUCCUCUUGGCUUCCUUCUUUGCAGCCCCAGAAGCCUCAUAGUUUUUUUUUUUUACACUUACCAACUUCAGCUAGAGACUCACAGUGC